rnacentral:lncRNA from 1 species
UCGACAGAAUCGAUGGGGGUAAAUAAUAUAUAUUGUGGCAUGAAAUGCUAUAUUACCACCGUGGCACGAUGACGUGAUUAAAUAAUACAUAUUCAAAAAUAAAUUUAAAGCAUAUUAUUAAAAGCAAAUAUUAGAAAGAUGCAUUUACUAAAAAAAUUCUAGGUUAUCUCAUGAAGCCAAAGCUCAGAGCAUCCCCAACAAUUCAUUCAUCUCAU